rnacentral:tRNA from 2 species
CGCGGGAUGGAGCAGUCUGGUAGCUCGUUGGGCUCAUAACCCAAAGGUCGUCGGUUCAAAUCCGGCUCCCGCAA